rnacentral:tRNA from 1 species
ACUUAGGUAAUUUAAAUGAAAAUUUUGAUUUGUGGUGUCAAGUAUGUGAAUUAAUUUCACCCUAGGUC